GACAAGUCUAGGGGCAGGGCGAGCCUCACCUCCACGGGGAAGGACAGACAGACAGACAGGUCUAGGGGCAGGGCGAGCCUCACCUCCAAAGAGGACAGAUAGACAGGUCUAGGGGCAGGGUGAGCCUCACCUCCAGAGAGGACAGACAGACAGGUCUAGGGGCAGGGUGAGCCUCACCUCCACGGGGAAGGACAGAGAGACGGACAGGUCUAGGGGCAGGGCGAGUCUCACCUCCACGGGGAAGGACAGACGGACGGACAGGUCUAGGGGCAGGGCAAGCCUCACCUCCAGGAAGGACAA